rnacentral:sRNA from 1 species
AGCUCGACGGGGUCGACCGCACGCGUGACGACCAGGUAGUCACGCAGCGCGAUGCCGUGCCGGUUCUC